ACAGCAGCAGCCGCGGUAAUACGAAGGGUGCAAGCGUUACUCGGAAUUACUGGGCGUAAAGGGUGCGUAGGUGGUCUUUUAAGUCCGUUGUGAAAUCCCUGGGCUCAACCUGGGAAUGGCAGUGGAUACUGGAAGGCUAGAGUGCGGUAGAGGGUAGUGGAAUUCCCGGUGUAGCAGUGAAAUGCGUAGAGAUCGGGAGGAACACCAGUGGCGAAGGCGGCUACCUGGACCAGCACUGACACUGAAGCACGAAAGCGUGGGGAGCAAACAGGAUUAGAUACCCCAGUAGUCCCUGUCUCUUAUAC
rnacentral:rRNA from 1 species